rnacentral:siRNA from 1 species
GAGUAAGAUUAACUGCCUCCA